GGGCACCACAAGAACGCGUGGAGCAUGUGGCUUAAUUUGACUCAACGCGGGAAAUCUUACCGGGUCCGGACACACUGAGGAUUGACAGGCGAUAUAACGAAUCUUAUUUUUUAAUAAGAUAUUCGUUAUUCAAAUAUGCUAGUCCUUUCAUGAUUAUGUGGUAGGUGGUGCAUGGCCGUUCUUAGUUCGUGGAGUGAUCUGUCUGCUUAAUUGCGUUUCACUAAGGUCCCAUAUACUAAAGGCAUGUCGACCUCUCUUUAGGCUUAAUUAAGUCUUGGACCCCUCUUUUAUUAAGAGCGAGUGUCUAAUGUCUUAUUUUCCUUUAUAUAAGAUAGUGUCGUAUGCUGUUGGGAUCUGAAAGCAACGAACGUGACCGCAACGUCUUGUUGCCUUACCUAUACUGGUAUUAUACUUUAAUACCGUAUAACUCAAGGCUUUACUUAUAAAACUAGACGGACCGCUGUUUCUUUUUCUUAAACCAGAGGAAGGUUGCGGCAAUAACAGGUCUGUGAUGCCCUUAGAUGUUCCGGGCUGCACACGUGCUACAAUGAUCAGUACAGUGAGCAUCUCAAUUUAUCUUUAUAUAGAAUUCAUUCUAUAUAAGAACCGUAUUUUCAAGCAUCUGUCGUUAUUACAAUGAUCAGUAUGCGCGGUAACGCCUGUUUCGAGAGUAAAUGGGUAAUCCAUUGGAAGUAAUGAUUUCUCUAUUUUAUAAUAAAAUGCACGGUUUAUAUACGGCAUUCAUUCCCGAGGCGCCUUUGUAGUGUCUAUGUGCGAAUGUAAUGUUAUGGCUUUGUUAUUAACGGCUAUUCCUUAAUAGUUUUGUUAUUAACGGCUAUAGUUAUCGUAUGUGCGAUUGUCAAUUCGUGGUGGGGACAGACCAUUGUUAACUG
rnacentral:rRNA from 1 species